rnacentral:lncRNA from 1 species
UUGGUGAGCCAAGUUAAAAACCAACGUGUGUAAGGGUUUGAUUGUGAGCCCGGGAAAACAAUCGGGGUUGGUUCUAGUCGGUGAGCCUGGGAAAACCGACCGAGUUCGUUGUGAGCUCGUAAAACAACAAGUUUGGUUGUGAGCUUGGAAAACAACCGACUGUAAUCCAAGGAGGGUAUAGUGAAUUCCCAAGUGAGACUUGGGGAGUGGACGUAGGAGCAAGGGUUAGCUCC